GACGAACGCUGGCGGCGUGCUUAACACAUGCAAGUCGAACGGAAAGGCCCUGCUUGCAGGGUACUCGAGUGGCGAACGGGUGAGUAACACGUGGGUGAUCUGCCCUGCACUUCGGGAUAAGCCUGGGAAACUGGGUCUAAUACCGGAUAGGAGCCAUUUUUAGUGUGAUGGUUGGAAAGUUUUUUCGGUGUAGGAUGAGCUCGCGGCCUAUCAGCUUGUUGGUGGGGUAAUGGCCUACCAAGGCGGCGACGGGUAGCCGGCCUGAGAGGGUGGACGGCCACAUUGGGACUGAGAUACGGCCCAGACUCCUACGGGAGGCAGCAGUGGGGAAUAUUGCACAAUGGGCGCAAGCCUGAUGCAGCGACGCCGCGUGGGGGAUGACGGCCUCGGGUUGUAAACUCCUUUCGCUAGGGACGAAGCUUUUUGUGACGGUACCUAGAUAAGAAGCACCGGCUAACUACGUG
rnacentral:rRNA from 1 species